UCUGAUUUGCACAAUCCAAGUUAGGUCCAGUGUCCACGUUCAACAACUUUGUAUAUCUUUGAAAAAACCCAAUGCGAUCGAUCAUUCACUCGUGCAUCACCAGGAAUACCACAUUCAAGUCCACCAUUGAUUAUGUACAAAAUUAUACACUAAUCGAACACUGUUGGACUUCUUGUUGAAACUUUGAAGCAUAGAAAAUACUUCUAUGACUAAAGACCUUUGUGGCAAUAAGGAUAGAAAACUUAUUUGGUGCUUUUGUGGUUUUGAAUUCAAUAAAAUAAAAGAGAAGAUUUUAGUAUAGAGAUAAUAUUUCUUUUAGAGCAAACUAUGAGCUCAUUAUCGCUAUCCAAUAUAUCUGAAUGUUUGAAGAA